GGAGGGAUGGCCGAGUGGACGAUGGCGGCGGUCUUGAAAACCGCUGUGACCUGACGGUCACCGGGGGUUCAAAUCCCUCUCCCUCCG
rnacentral:tRNA from 1 species